rnacentral:piRNA from 1 species
GAGAAGUGGAAGAGUCACUGUGCACUCUCUUA